GGAGAAAUGCAGACAAAUAUCCCCGGCGAAAUGAGGGCAGAAUGGCAUUUUCAUGGGGUUUUAUUUGGAUGCGAAAUCUUUUGGAGGACAGAAGAAGCAGCGUUGACCUCUCUGAAGCAGUGGACUGCAGAGAGACUCAAAGGCCUUGUGGAGAUCUCUCAAGGUUUGAGACUUUAUCUGAACACAUGCUCAUCUGUGCACAGCACAACUCCACCAUGGAUACAAAUUCUUACUCAAAUUCGCAAAUUAAAAGCAACUGUGGUUAUAGAUGGAUACCAAUCGCGUCCUCCCUGAACAGCCUCAGCCAAACCUGAGAGGUUCCCACCCCUCCUCUGCUCAUGAACAGAGAGAUCCUGACUUCCCCUGAAGCCCAAAUCAGGAAAUGUUUCAAAGAAGUGAAUGACAGGAGUCCCUCCACCCGGUUACCCCGACCAGUCUCUCCCUCAAUCUAAAGGAGGUGAUAUUGUAGCCCUUUUUCUCCCUUUCUGAAAGGGGAAAUCCCUGGGAUUGAGCUUGUGUGCUGGAGCGGAAGCAGGCUGGAAUGUGUGUCCGGGCCGCGUCUUUUGUCGCCUGCCGGCGCCAUGAAUAGGCACAGGCCGCAAUCUCUCUGUCCUCUUGUUUAUCAGACUGUGAAGAAGCAAACAAUGCCAAAUGUUUCUUCUGCAUGUUAUCGGCACCUUAUACCUGUCAUUCACUUCUUUAUU